rnacentral:misc_RNA from 1 species
GAUGAAGAACGCAGCGAAAUGCGAUAAGUAGUGUGAAUUGCAGAAUUCAGUGAAUCAUCGAAUCUUUGAACGCACAUUGCGCCCCUUGGUAUUCCAUGGGGCAUGCCUGUUCGAGCGUCAUUUGUACCUUCAAGCUUUGCUUGGUGUUGGGUGUUUGUCUCGCCUUUGCGUGUAGACUCGCCUUAAAAUAAUUGGCAGCCGGCGUAUUGAUUUCGGAGCGCAGUACAUCUCGCGCUUUGCACUCAUAACGACAGCGUCCAAAAGUACAUCUUACACUCUUGACCUCGGAUCAGGUAGGGAUACCCGCUGAACUUAAGCAUAUCAAUAAGCGGAGGA